AUUUUUACAGAUUUUAUAGAAAUGAAAAUGUACACGAAAAAACACAAGACAUCAAACAAUAUAUUGAUUUGAAUGUGUUUCAUUCAUAUCUCAAAAAACGAGUUGAUUAUAUAGGGAAUCACUGAAGCAUGACUGGAGUCCCCCCCUUUUUGAUUAGUCCCCCUUUAGUUCAGUCAAUAGGCCCACCUUAUAAAAAGUACUGGAUCUCCCACUGAAACAUGUUUGUGAAUGCUCAACAAUGCACUAACCUGGGACAAUAAGAAUAAACGGUAAAAAUAUGGUUCUUUUGGCUUUCCACACUAGUUUUGUACGAGGCACGUAAAUAACAACUAAUAUAGAAAGUAGACACAGAUAAAUAAAUCAUGUUUUUUUAACUGAAGUAUUAUUAAUAUUCACAGACCAAUUGAUUUUGAUGGGUUGGAGCCAUGGAUUUUAUAUGAAGCUAGAUUUUUAAGCAAGACAAAAUUUUGUUUUUUACAUCAUUCAUAUCCUAUUUGCCAAAAAUAAAUCCAGAACAUUUUUUUUGUAACUGAAUAUGUAGGUCAGAUUAUUUGUUUAAACAUUACAGAUUAGUUUUUGGUUUGUCCAUAAGGAUUGAGACUGGAAAUGGCAAUUGAAUCAGACUUUUAAAGCUGAUGUGAAGACUGAUUUCAUGGUGUUGGAAGUAAGAACUGGCGAUCUUAUACUGCUAACAUAUUGGUUAGCAUCACAGAUUGUCCUUUUGCAUACUGUCCGGAGUAGAAUUUGGAUCUUUUUGAGGUGCCCUUGUGUGGUCAAUCCAAUGGACAAUAACAAUCAUGCAGACCAGAUAUAUAUUGCUUUUUGUAUAAUAAAAUCUUUAAAUGAUAAUUCUGAAAGCCAAAUGAUUCAUUUUUUUAUGCUGUUACUUUUUCCAUUUACUGUAAAUUAACAAUUUUUUGUUUUUAAUGCUGUUAUUCGUUUGGCUCAAAUGAAGUAUACUGAUAUUUAGUUCCAGAUUUUGAUAUAUGUAUUCCUAUGCAAAUAAAAACUUGUAUUAUAGUUAUAAAAAUAGUUGAUUAAUACUAUCAUUUUAUAAUUAUUAUUUGAUGAAAUGGAAAAUUAUAAUUGUAAUGGUUGACAUUUUGAUAGAAUAAAAUAGUCUGUUAUGAUUGACUGGUAGACAGAUCAACAGGUUGACAAGUCAAAAGAUGCCUAUAUUAAGGAAACUCGCUUGUCAUGUUUUGGAACUUUGGUAAGGCAGCAACCAUUUGAUUUUGU